rnacentral:rRNA from 2 species
UCGACGAACUCUGGUAUUGAUUGGUGCUUGCAUCAUGAUUUACAUUUGAGUGAGUGGCGAACUGGUGAGUAACACGUGGGAAACCUGCCCAGAAGCGGGGGAUAACACCUGGAAACAGAUGCUAAUACCGCAUAACAACUUGGACCGCAUGGUCCGAGUUUGAAAGAUGGCUUCGGCUAUCACUUUUGGAUGGUCCCGCGGCGUAUUAGCUAGAUGGUGGGGUAACGGCUCACCAUGGCAAUGAUACGUAGCCGACCUGAGAGGGUAAUCGGCCACAUUGGGACUGAGACACGGCCCAAACUCCUACGGGAGGCAGCAGUAGGGAAUCUUCCACAAUGGACGAAAGUCUGAUGGAGCAACGCCGCGUGAGUGAAGAAGGGUUUCGGCUCGUAAAACUCUGUUGUUAAAGAAGAACAUAUCUGAGAGUAACUGUUCAGGUAUUGACGGUAUUUAACCAGAAAGCCACGGCUAACUACGUGCCAGCAGCCGCGGUAAUACGUAGGUGGCAAGCGUUGUCCGGAUUUAUUGGGCGUAAAGCGAGCGCAGGCGGUUUUUUAAGUCUGAUGUGAAAGCCUUCGGCUCAACCGAAGAAGUGCAUCGGAAACUGGGAAACUUGAGUGCAGAAGAGGACAGUGGAACUCCAUGUGUAGCGGUGAAAUGCGUAGAUAUAUGGAAGAACACCAGUGGCGAAGGCGGCUGUCUGGUCUGUAACUGACGCUGAGGCUCGAAAGUAUGGGUAGCAAACAGGAUUAGAUACCCUGGUAGUCCAUACCGUAAACGAUGAAUGCUAAGUGUUGGAGGGUUUCCGCCCUUCAGUGCUGCAGCUAACGCAUUAAGCAUUCCGCCUGGGGAGUACGGCCGCAAGGCUGAAACUCAAAGGAAUUGACGGGGGCCCGCACAAGCGGUGGAGCAUGUGGUUUAAUUCGAAGCUACGCGAAGAACCUUACCAGGUCUUGACAUACUAUGCAAAUCUAAGAGAUUAGACGUUCCCUUCGGGGACAUGGAUACAGGUGGUGCAUGGUUGUCGUCAGCUCGUGUCGUGAGAUGUUGGGUUAAGUCCCGCAACGAGCGCAACCCUUAUUAUCAGUUGCCAGCAUUAAGUUGGGCACUCUGGUGAGACUGCCGGUGACAAACCGGAGGAAGGUGGGGAUGACGUCAAAUCAUCAUGCCCCUUAUGACCUGGGCUACACACGUGCUACAAUGGAUGGUACAACGAGUUGCGAACUCGCGAGAGUAAGCUAAUCUCUUAAAGCCAUUCUCAGUUCGGAUUGUAGGCUGCAACUCGCCUACAUGAAGUCGGAAUCGCUAGUAAUCGCGGAUCAGCAUGCCGCGGUGAAUACGUUCCCGGGCCUUGUACACACCGCCCGUCACACCAUGAGAGUUUGUAACACCCAAAGUCGGUGGGGUAACCUUUA